rnacentral:tRNA from 1 species
GUCCUCGUAGCUCAUCGGGAUAGAGCAAAAGUUUCCUAAACUUUAGGUGGUAGGUUCGAGUCCUAUCGGGGACACCA